UACGUAGGGGGCUAGCGUUGUCCGGAUUUAUUGGGCGUAAAGAGCGUGUAGGCGGCCAGGUAGGUCCGGUGUGAAAACUCGAGGCUUAACCUCGAGAUGUCAUCGGAAACCAUCUGGCUAGAGUCCGGAAGAGGAAAGUGGAAUUCCUGGUGUAGCGGUGAAAUGCGCAGAUAUCAGGAAGAACACCAAUGGCGAAAGCAGCAUUGCUUUCGGUAC
rnacentral:rRNA from 1 species